GUUAACAACUUGUAACAAUUUUGUUGAUAUUAUCGGACUUGUUGCAAGGUUGUUCCAUCAAGUCCGAUACAGUGAUGAUAUAACAAUAUUGUUACAACCUUGUGUCGUCAACCUUGUAACAUUCUUGUUAUAUCAUGACUGCAUCAGACUUGUUAGAACAACCUUGUAACAAGUCUGAUAAUACCAUCAAGCUUGUUACAAGUUGUUAAC
rnacentral:miRNA from 1 species